rnacentral:rRNA from 1 species
UACGUAGGGUGCGAGCGUUAAUCGGAAUACUGGGCGUAAAGCGUGCGCAGGCGGUUCGUUGUGUCCGUCGUGAAAGCCCCGGGCUUAACCCUGGGAACUGCGAUGGAAACUAGCGAGCUGGAGUGUGGCAGAGGGGGUGGGAAUUCCGCGUGUAGCAGUGAAAUGCGUAGAGAUGCGGAGGAACACCGAUGGCGAAGGCAGCCCCCUGGGCUAACACUGACGCUCAGGCACGAAAGCGUGGGGAGCAAACAGG